UCCAGAUAAAGUAGCGCAAGUCAUUUCCCAAGCCUGUUGAUUUGAGGAUGAUGAUUCGCAUUCAGCUUUCACUAUAGGCACAGCCUUCACAUACGGCCUGCGUGGUUAUUGGAAGGUUCCGGGCCUCAACAUCCCCAUGGUCAUAUCCAGCCUCACCACCCUGCAGGAGGGCGUUCUCAGCCAGGGGAAAGCCAAGUGGAGUUUAAGCAACUGCUUCUGGGUGCUACACUGCAUGACCGAGGCCUACUAUCUGUUUACCAGAUUUUUCUUGUGACCCCUGGAGGACACCCCUACCCCCAGGGUUGGUAACCAGUGAUUUAGAGAAGCAACAAGCAGAUAAGAACACCUUGAAAGCAGCGACAACAAAGGGAAUGAGAAGAUGAGAGUGACACACGGGCCCUCGUCUAGAGAUGUGCAUAUAUAUGAGGCACAGCAAGAGACAGUGUGUGAAAAGUGAAAGAAAAAGGGUGAAAGUUACAAGAAUCUCUUACAGGUUACAGAAUAAUCUUCAAACGUCAAGCCACAGAUGUCCUGCUGGUUUUCACCCUAGUUGUCUAAUCAGGGACUCAUUUACACUUGGGAUGUCGUUGUUGGUAGAAGAGGAGACAAGGAGUAAUGUGGAACUAUACUGUAGGACCAGCAGGGUGGUUCAGUGAUUGCUUAAAAUUCAACAUGUUCAUUUCCUCUCAGCAGAAUCCUUACAGGCUUUAUAAAUGCUGUUCCUUUACAUUAUUGCGCUAUUUCACAUUUUACCUGUCACGGCAGGAAAAGAACAGGUGUAAAUAAUGAAAUUACUGAUGACUGAAUUUCAUUUAGCUGCUUUGGUUUCAGGGUCUGGGUAUUGUGCAUGCCGGCUCACUGUCACACUGCCAUGGCUUACUGGGACACUUGUAUAGAAUAGAGCUAUCAUUAAUGUUAUUAACACCUGUACUUUUUCUAUAUUCAGUGUCGGCACCUCACAGCGUGGUAAAAAUAAACAUGGAGAAGAGCAACAAUGGA